AAAAUGCUCAUUGGAGCCUCACUUGUACUAACUCCAAGUUACAUGUUCUGGAGUCCUUAGUGAUAAAGAAAUGGAAUACACUUUCUUUAAAUAAUGAGUCAUUUUUUUGAAGGUAUAAAAUCAGUCUUUUAAAAUUAAGAACCCAUAAGGUAAUGAGGACUCCACUUUUUUUUUGAAAUUUUUUAUUUUUAUACAGAGUCUUGCUCUGUCACCCAGGCUGGAGUGCAGUUGCGUGAUCUCGACUAACUGCAACCUCAGCCUCCCAGGUUCAAGCAAUUCUCGUGCCUCAGCCUCCCAAGUAGCUGGGAUUACAGAGGUAUGCCACCAUGCCCAGCUAAUUUUUGUACUUUUAGUAGAGACAGGGGUUCACCAUAUUGGCCAGGCUGGUCUUGAACUCCUGGCCUCAAGUGAUCUGCCUGCCUUGACCUCCCAAAGUGCUGGGAUUACAGGCAUGGGUCACUGCACCCGGCCAAGGACUUCACUAUUACUCCCACACCUUCUAGUUUAUCAUGAAAUCUAUGAAACAGAAGAAAUCUGUGAAGUCGUGGAAAGAGCACCAAACUUAGAAUCAGGACGUGGUUCAAGCCCUGGCUUUUCAUUUACUCCCUGCAUGACCUUGUCCAAGACGCUUAACCUCUCUGAGCCACAGUCUAUAAAAUUGAGAUCAUCUUCCUUAGAGGGGUGCUCUGAUUAAAUUAUGAGAUUAUACACUAGGAAGCACUGUGCAAAUACAAUUUUAUUUUGAAGUCAUCAAUUUCCAUUCUUCUCUCCCUUAGGUUCAUUCAUGUGCAGGCCUCUCAGAACCAGUCCUCUCAGUUCCGUACCCUGUCUCUUGCUUCAAGAUAGAAGACCACUACCUUCACUCAAUACUUGCCUAGGGCGUGUCGCACACUUUGCAUAUAUCACUUUUAUUUAUUUAUUUAUUUAUUUAUUUAUUUAUUUAUUUAUUUAUUUAUUUUGAAACAGAAUCUUGCUCUGUCACCCAGGCUGGAGUGCAGUGGCAUGAUCUCAGCUCACUGGCACCCUGCGACCUCCACCUCCCGGGUUCAAGCGAUUCUUGCACCUCAGCCUCCUGAGUAGCUGGGAUUACAGGCGUCUGCCACUACACCUGGCUAAUUUUUGUGUUUUUAGUAGAGACAGGGUUUCACCAUGUUGGCCGGGCUGGUCUCAAAUUCCUGAUCUCAGGAGAUCUGCCUGCUUUGGCCUCCCAAAGUGCUGGGAUUACAGGUGUGAGCCACCACUCCCAACCAACCUCAUUUAAUCUUCAAAACAAUCCUGUGAGGUAGGUAUUUGGAAGAUUUGAAUCCAGGCAGUCAGACUCAAAGUCUGUAAGCUUGAAGCCAAGCUGAUCUAGGGUAACUUUCAGACAGCAAUCACCAUCUGUCACUUUACUGCCAUGAAGGAAAAAGUUUUUAAUAGAGGUUUUCCUUUCAGGAGGAUAUAAACUCAGCACUCAGCAAAAGCCACUAGUAAAUCCAGCGGGAGCCCUGGAUGCCUCAGGAAUGGUUCCAUUCUGCAGUCAUAGAAGGGUUCACAGGAAGCUGGUCGCUGGCCCUAGAAGGAACAUAGCCCCAAGCAGUGCCUUUCAGGGGCACUCGGAAGGUUUGAGGCCAGGAGGUCCUGGCCAGCAGUCCAAGGCAGCACCAGAGAGCUUGAAACCAGUAAAGCUUCCCCAGGCUGGACUCCACAGCCAGUUCAGAGCCUGACCCUGAACAUCUGCAGAUGGGCUUAUAUCUGAGCUGUGUUUUCUAGCCAGGCCAGAGGGAGGCUUGGAGAAGUCUAGAAGAGAACCAGAGGCCCCAAAGUAAAGAAAGCUGGACAGGAAGUUUCCUAGCCCAGCAGGGGCCAGCAGCAGUGAGCAGAGAGCACUACCCCCACCAGCACUUGAUGUUCUAUGAAGUGCAAAGAUUGUGUCAGCAUUUCCAUUUUAAACCCCUAAUUUCAUAGGUUUACAGUGCAAGUCGUAAAAAUUCACUCUGGGCUGAAGUUUGGCAUCCAGUCUCUUAGCUUUUUUAAAGCUGUGUGCUCAAAAAUGGAGACAUGUCUAGUUUCAGACAUUUUGGGGACCCCUAUAAACACCCCCAAAGCCUUGUUUGGUAAAAAUGGGCUCCUAAAUUGUGAUUCUAUGAUGCAGCAAAGCCCUGCCUCUGUGAAUGUGCAGAAAAUGUGUUAUGAAAAAGUAAUAUUGUUCCUCCAGAAAUACAGAUUCCCUACACACUGAACUAGAGCAGUGAAAAUAAGUAGAAUCUAAUGUUGUUGCAUCUUCAGAGCAACAUGUCACAUGACCUUUACCGUUACCACUGGGGCCUGAAGCUGUUCUUGCUUGAAAAGACAUUUCAAUUUCCAACUGGAGGCAGCUUCCUAGAGGAUUGGAGUCAGCAGCUGAUUCAGGUUUUUACAGGUUCUGUGACCUUGACCAAUAUGUAUUUAAACCUCCAUUUCUUUUGUUAUUAAAUUGGAGAUAAUUAUACUCUCCGUUCAGUUUUUCUGUAAACAGGAAAGAUCAUAUAUGUCAACACAUGUAAUAGACUGACUUUUAUUGGUAGCAACAUAUAGGUAACUCAGAGAAGUGAAGGUAUCUACAGUGAUGAUUAGUGGAAAGCUCUCUAACCUCUUCAUUUUCAGAUUUCCACUCAUUCCACAUCCUCUAAUACCUCUCACUGGUCACUGAGGCUGGUAAAGACAUUCAAAAUAUGAGCUACAUUAAAGAAUAAAUCCCCAGGAGAAAGCUCCCAAGAAUGACGUUAUAAAUCCCAAUGUUUGAGGAAUCUGACGUGGCAAGAAGCUAAUAUUUCAUAAUUUUGCAAGUAUCGCAGGGGACCCUGAGAGUUGUGAGAGCUUGAAUCACAUGACUUAGCUCGGGUAAUUAAUACUCAGGCAACUUGGCACUCGUACCAGUCUGCUUGAUCUGCAAGAAGUUCAAAGAGCCUCAUCUUCCCAAGUGUUGGGGCUUUGAUAAUUUCAGGAAGAGAAGCGAGAAUAGUAGCUCAGGCGUAUGUCCCCCUGAAGGAAAGGCAGAGCAGCAGCAGGGCAACCACCCUAUGGGACCUCCCUAUUCCUGAGCAAGAGGUUGUCCCUAGAUCCCAAAUAGGCCGAGAGACUGGGGGAGUCGAGACUUAUCUCAGGGGAGCAAGGGAAUGUCUGGCUACAGUGCCUGGUUUGGAAACAGGGAGAGGAAUCCAUGGCUCUGAGCCCAACCCCAGGCCACCAACAUGAUUUCUAUCUCUGGAAACAAGGAUUCUGUUAACAGAGGGACUUUCAGAAACAUCUUCAUUAAUACUGGUACCACCGAAAUGCCCAUGGAACACUUAGGGGUCAGUCAAACCUGAGGUUUAACUUUUCCUUUUUAAAUGUCAGCAGCAAACUGCUGAUCUACCAACAGUUAACAAUUUUACCUGCUGCUGUCUAAUCCUUUAUUCACCACAAAUCCAUUCCAAAGGGAGUCAAUAAGGCAACAUAAAAGUGUUCAAUGCAUAUUAACUGAUAAGGAGGAGAAGUUAGUGAAGUUCCUCUUAAAGCCAGUACAUUUCCAAGCUCUUAGUACUGUUUCAUUCUCCAUGUUUUAAAAUUAUACAAAGUGUAUAUUAGGCAAAAGAAUAGUAAGAUAAAAACUUAUGCACCCAAAACACAGGCUAGGAAAAAAGUCACUCACACCACCAAAUAAUCUUAUGCAUUCCUCCCCAACUUCAAAUUCUCCUCUUAUACCUUGCAGGCUGCACUAUCCUUACUGGCAUGUUCGUUACAUGUGGCUCACCUACGUAAGUCUAUGCUGAAGUGCAGUGCUAUGACAGGCACGAUCACAGCACACGGCAGCCUCAAGCUCCUGGGUUCAAAUGAGACUCCCACC
rnacentral:lncRNA from 1 species